UGCGCAGGCGGUUCUGCAAGUCAGAUGUGAAAUCCCCGGGCUUAACCUGGGAACUGCGUUUGAAACUACGGAGCUAGAGUGCGGCAGAGGGGGGUGGAAUUCCACGUGUAGCAGUGAAAUGCGUAGAUAUGUGGAGGAACACCGAUGGCGAAGGCAGCCCCCUGGGCCGACACUGACGCUCAGGCACGAAAGCGUGGGAGCAAACA
rnacentral:rRNA from 1 species